CAGGGGGCGUGUGGGAUCGCUUGGGAUCGCGAGCGUCUAGGGAGGGUGCGGGGGAGGGGAGCGGCGGUGGGCGGGGAGGGGAGCGUCUAGGUCUAGCGGCACGAGACGAGGAGGGAGGAAGGGGAGACCGUUCUAGGGUGUAGGUAGCUAGGUAGGUAGUUGGCCUUGGGGAGAGGGCUACGGUCUAGGUUAGGAGGAGGGAGGGAGGAGCGGGGCCGAGGAACGAGGGGAGGGGAAGGUAUAGUGGCAUGGUGGAGGGAGGAACGGGAUAGAGCGACGAGGGGAGGGGAAGGUCUAGCGGCGGCGGUGGAGGGAGGAGGAGGGAGCGGGACCGAGGGACGAGGCGGAGGGAGAAGGGGAGGAGGAGUAGCACGACGACGCAAGAUCUCACAAACGAAUGUCCCGGCCCUCGCUGUGGUUGCUGUGCCUGCCCCUGCUCCUACUACUGGGGCACUACCUCCAGCUGCCGUGGCUCCUGCUCCUCCAGCUACUCCAGCAGGUCCGAUUCCGGCGGCGGUUCCGCGAGCCCUGGUUCUCGUCGAACCCGAGCCCGUGGCAGCCACUACAAAAGCUGCCCGAGCACCUCGAGUUGUACCUGCGGAUACUGCUGCUCCUCCUACCCGAGCUCGAAAAGUCGUGGUCCGACCCCCUGAACAUGAUGCUUUCGUUACUUCUCCUGGGGAUAUAGUAGUUCUUGCUACUACUUCUACUACCGCUCCUGCUGCUACUCCUCUAAUUCCUGUACUGAUAGUUUAGAUGACUAUAUCACUAACAAACGCGAGUAUUGUUCCUACUUAAGUUAAGAGAGGUCCAAUCGUAUCACCUUCUUAACCUCCUACCCCUAGGAUUAUACAAACACGCGGUACUCCAGGGAGAGAGUCUAAAAGACGAGACGUGCCGAACCUACCUAAAAUUGGCAGUCCUAAACCCCGGAAGAAGUUCUUCCUGUUCUGGUCCCGGAGGUUACCUAGUCGGUAGUGGUACCAUUCGGCUCCACGACACCCACAGUUCCUUCUGCUACCAAGCCAACUCUGUCACUUCUCUCCUAUCGCACGUCUCUCCCUCCUGCAGCCAAGGUCCAGGUACUGUAGAGCGACUUGGUGAUGACCUACACCACAGCUGCUUCGUGAUGUGGAUCGAACGAGCAGCCGCGCGUGUACACACGAAACUACGCGCUGCGAAGUAGCUCGACUGGCCUGGCGCUGUUAGCGGCCUCGGCCUCGACCUCCUCCGCUACUCUACGACGACGACGCUGACGCAGGAGCCUCCGUCGUCAACGGGGAGCGGCUGGAGUGGUUGGAGGCCGCAAGCGGUACUCGAGGCGCGUCCUGGGGAAGAUUUAGAAGGUCCUCCUCUAGGUCCCGAACCAUUAGGGGGGUAGCGGCAGGCGGGAGGGAGGGAGGGAACACGGGGAAAGAGAAGGAGAUCAACGCUUAAAACCAUACAACGGCGACAAAUAAACCGACGCAGCACCGCAUGACAGUCGACUUUUGACGAAGAAAUAAAAGAUGAGGUCAUAACAUACCUCAUCAUAUAUUCCUACAGAAUGACAUCAUACCGUUUCCGUCACUGGUCGAACCAUCAAUCAUGAUCUACUCUUUUAAGUACUACGACCGGCCCUCGUUUUUUAAAUAUCCGAAUCAACGACAUAACCAAGACAUUAACAUACCCCUAUAUACGUAUCUAUACAUUGCACACCCAAGGUUCGUACGAAGGCUCUAAAAAAAUCAAAACGACCGAGAACGUUGUGAACCUAAUAAAUAAUUAUAUUGGGUUGUCGCUACGAAGGUAAAAUUGUGUACAUGAUCACACGAUUUUGAUCAUGACAUGGACGAAGAAGAAUCGGACUCAUCAUGUAGUCCGAACAUAAUUGAACAUCGGAUCAGUGAUGUCAGUAGAACACGAAAAUAGAAGAGACACUACAGUAAACGGAAACUCGGAUGAAUAACUUCUGAAUACGAGUAUAUAGAAAAAUCAGGGAGAUAAAGGUAUUUACACUGUGACAAAACAAAGAUUUAUGAACUGUGUAUGUUCAAACUCCCGUAACAGGAUUUGGGAACGAUACUAACUAGGUAGAGGAGAUGAAACAAUGAACACGAAUUAACUCUACAAUGAGUUCCCAUCACAAACCCUGUUGUAUAUAUUUACUAUACCAGCAAAUGAAAUUAUACACACAACUGAGCUUUGACAGUUUUAUAGAUCUUUAUCUCGCUUGAGUGAAGUGUCUAAGAAAGUUAGAAGUUACCAAUACCAAAAACGUAAUGCCUAAGAAUUAGAGGAGACUAAGAUCUAAGAAGGUUCACGAUCGAUCGAGGUUUUCGUUUAACAGAAGUAAACCUUCUACGUUGUAAGAUAGUCUUAGGUAAGAGGACGAGAAAAAGAACAUGGCAUACAGUAGGUAAUAAGUUGGGGCAACCAUUCAAGAACAUCACACAGAGAGAUAAGUCUUAACGUAAAAUCAAAUCCUAAACGAAGGACACACCAUGACCUACCGACUCAUAAUUUUGUUAAACCAAUGAUAGCCUUCGUGAAAUUAAGAGACCUUAAUUUGAAACUGUUCGUACGUAUAUACACAAGUUAAAAAGACCUAAUGCACUACCGUAAGAUGCUAAGACAAAUUGUUGAAUUCAUAUACAUACUUACACGAGCUCAGGUACUAAAUAACAAGACAAAUUGUUGAAUUCAUAUACAUACUUACACGAUGUAAAUCUAGCUGGAUAGUAUCUUUAGACGAAUUAAACUUGACCUUCAUCUAUCAUGAUUGUCAGUCUAACAGGAGGUCAGGUACAGAAACUACAUGUGGACGAGACGACAACAAUAAACAAUUAUAUGUCUAUGUUGGCAUACAUAUCAGUGAUUGUGAACCUGAACGGUUUUGUAAGUACAUCCGACAACCACCUGCACCACCACUAGGAGGACAAUCCUCCAUCUCCUACACUCGACUCGACGACAGACCAGCUCCUUCUUUCAACGACAGAAAUGACCACUUUGUUUAACGACGGCGUUGGUACGAACACUCGAAUACUACACGGAGAUCAAAUCAAACAGCCAAAGACACUUAGUAAGAGACACUACAUUCUACAUAACGACGACAAUCGACAUUUACACUACAUACUACUCAACUGAACUACCAAGCAAACUCCAACAGUAACCUUACCUAAUAGAGGACACUUCAAAUGACGAUCAAUUGUACUCAAUUUGAUUA
rnacentral:rRNA from 1 species